rnacentral:lncRNA from 1 species
CCCCCACAUAGUCUCAUGAGCACCUACAAUGACAGAAAGGGAAAUUUAGAGAAUGAAGAGAAAACUUCUAAGAUGUUCAUAGAAUGCUUCAGGGAAGAGGUUUGAUAAUGAGCUGUUCAUGAAAGAUUGAACUCAUGAAACUGGGGAUAAGGAAGACAGUCUCGGAGGGGAAAAUGGCACAAGCAAACGUGUGGAGGAAAUGCAAGUGUGAAGAAUGGGCAUCACCAAUUCUUACGUGAGUGAUCACCUCAGGGUGUGUCAACUUACCUUGGGCUUCUGCAAAACAGUCAAGAAAACUGCUUUUUAUUAUUUUCUGUUUUCUGAAUCAGCAACUCUGUCACAAGCUAGAAGUCCCUGUAUUAUUCUUCAUUCUAUUAUUUUUCAUGUAAGACUUGAAAACUCUUGGGAGCCUUGGUCUAC